rnacentral:rRNA from 1 species
UCUGCGGUGGGUACGGGCAGACUAGAGUGCGGUAGGGGAGACUGGAAUUCCUGGUGUAGCGGUGGAAUGCGCAGAUAUCAGGAGGAACACCGAUGGCGAAGGCAGGUCUCUGGGCUGUAACUGACGCUGAGGAGCGAAAGCAUGGGGAGCGAACUUGAUUAAAUACCCUGGUAGUCCAUGCCGUAAACGUUGGGCACUAGGUGUGGGGACCAUUCCACGGUUUCCGCGCCGCAGCUAACGCAUUAUGUGCCCCGCCUGGGGAGUACGGCCGCAAGGCUAAAACUCAAAGGAAUUGACGGGG